rnacentral:rRNA from 1 species
GAUGAACGCUGGCGGCGUGCCUAAUACAUGCAAGUCGAGCGAAUGGAUUAAGAGCUUGCUCUUAUGAAGUUAGCGGCGGACGGGUGAGUAACACGUGGGUAACCUGCCCAUAAGACUGGGAUAACUCCGGGAAACCGGGGCUAAUACCGGAUAACAUUUUGAACCGCAUGGUUCGAAAUUGAAAGGCGGCUUCGGCUGUCACUUAUGGAUGGACCCGCGUCGCAUUAGCUAGGUGGUGAGGUAACGGCUCACCAAGGCAACGAUGCGUAGCCGAACUGAGGGGGUGAUCGGCCACACUGGGACUGAGACACGGCCCAGACUCCUACGGGAGGCAGCAGUAGGAAAUCUUCCGCAAUGGACGAAAGUCUGACGGAGCAACGCCGCGUGAGUGAUGAAGGCUUUCGGGUCGUAAAACUCUGUUGUUAGGGAAGAACAAGUGCUAGUUGAAUAAGCUGGCACCUUGACGGUACCUAACCAGAAAGCCACGGCUAACUACGUGCCAGCCGCCGCUGUAA